GUGGGGAAUCUUAGACAAUGGGGGCAACCCUGAUCUAGCCAUGCCGCGUGAUCGAUGAAGGCCUUAGGGUUGUAAAGAUCUUUCAGCUGGGAAGAUAAUGACGGUACCAGCAGAAGAAGCCCCGGCUAACUCCGUGCCAGCAGCCGCGGUAAUACGGAGGGGGCUAGCGUUGUUCGGAAUUACUGGGCGUAAAGCGCACGUAGGCGGAUCAGAAAGUCAGAGGGGAAAUCCCAGGGCUCAACCUUGGAACUGCCUUUGAAACUCCUGGUCUUGAGGUCGAGAGAGGUGAGUGGAAUUCCGAGUGUAGAGGUGAAAUUCGUAGAUAUUCGGAGGAAAACCAGUGGCGAAGGCGGCUCACUGGCUCGAUACUGACGCUGAGGUGCGAAAGCGUGGGGAGCAAACAGGAUUAGAAACCCGUGUAGUCC
rnacentral:rRNA from 1 species